CCCACCUUCCCCACCGCCCCUCGCAGUUUGUUUACAAGUAUCAAAGUUGUAAUUGAGGAGCUGCCAAGGCACAUCUGGAUAUUUUUCUUCUUCUUCUUCUUCUUUGUGUUAGGGACUGAUGUGCAACUAAUUAAAGGCAGACAGGCUGGUAGCGUCUUGCACACUCAAGCCCCCCCAAAUAAAGAGCCUGCUGCGGCAGCUCCCGUGAGGAUGCCGGAGGAACGGCUGCCCGGCCAAGCACCGACCGCGGGGAUGCGUCCGGAGAAGGAGGAUUAGGGGGGGGGGGGGGGGGGG
rnacentral:lncRNA from 12 species